rnacentral:rRNA from 1 species
UACAGAGGGUGCAAGCGUUACUCGGAAUUACUGGGCGUAAAGCGUGCGUAGGUGGUUGGUUAAGUCUGUCGUGAAAGCCCUGGGCUCAACCUGGGAACUGCGAUGGAAACUGGCUGACUAGAGUGUGGUAGAGGGUAGCGGAAUUCCUGGUGUAGCAGUGAAAUGCGUAGAUAUCAGGAGGAACAUCCAUGGCGAAGGCAGCUACCUGGGCCAACACUGACACUGAGGCACGAAAGCGUGGGGAGCAAACAGG